UACGUAGGGGGCAAGCGUUAUCCGGAUUUACUGGGUGUAAAGGGAGCGUAGACGGCAUAGCAAGUCUGAAGUGAAAGCCCGUGGCUCAACCGCGGAACUGCUUUGGAAACUGUUAAGCUGGAGUACCGGAGAGGCAAGCGGAAUUCCUAGUGUAGCGGUGAAAUGCGUAGAUAUUAGGAGGAACACCAGUGGCGAAGGCGGCUUGCUGGACAGAGACUGACGUUGAGGCUCGAAAGCGUGGGGAGCAAACAGG
rnacentral:rRNA from 1 species